rnacentral:rRNA from 1 species
GACGAACGCUGGCGGCGUGCUUUAGGCAUGCAAGUCGAACGCGAAAGCCCCUUCGGGGGUGCGUAGAGUGGCGAACGGGUGAGUAACACGUGGGUAACCUGCCCCUCGCAGGGGGAUAACCGGGGGAAACCCCGGCUAAUACCCCGUACGCUUGCUGGGGCGCAUGCUCCGGCAAGGAAAGGUAGCUUCGGCCAUCCGGCGAGGGAGGGGCCCGCGGCCCAUUAGCUAGUUGGUGGGGUAACGGCCCACCAAGGCGACGAUGGGUAGCUGGCCUGAGAGGGUGGUCAGCCACACUGGGACUGAGACACGGCCCAGACUCCUACGGGAGGCAGCAGCCAGGAAUCUUGCGCAAUGGGCGAAAGCCUGACGCAGCAACGCCGCGUGGGCGAUGAAGGCCUUCGGGUCGUAAAGCCCUGUUGUCGGGGACGAAGGGCGAAGGGUUAAUAGCCCCUAGCCUGACGGUACCCGACGAGGAAGCCCCGGCUAACUACGUG